rnacentral:rRNA from 1 species
AUGAACGCUGACAGAAUGCUUAACACAUGCAAGUCAACUUGAAUUUGGGUUUUUAACUUAGGUUUGGGUGGCGGACGGGUGAGUAACGCGUAAAGAACUUGCCUCACAGCUAGGGACAACAUUUGGAAACGAAUGCUAAUACCUAAUAUUAUGAUAAUAGGGCAUCCUAUAAUUAUGAAAGCUAUAAGCGCUGUGAGAGAGCUUUGCGUCCCAUUAGCUAGUUGGAGAGGUAACGGCUCACCAAGGCGAUGAUGGGUAGCCGGCCUGAGAGGGUGAUCGGCCACAAGGGGACUGAGACACGGCCAUUACUCCUACGGGAGGAAGCAGUGGGGAAUAUUGGACAAUGGACCGAGAGUCUGAUCCAGCAAUUCUGUGUGCACGAUGAAGUUUUUCGGAAUGUAAAGUGCUUUCAGUUGGGAAGAAACAAAUGACGGUACCAACAGAAGAAGUGACGGCUAAAUACGUG